GACGAACGCUGGCGGCGUGCUUAACACAUGCAAGUCGAACGGAACGGCCCUGCUUGCAGGGUGCUCGAGUGGCGAACGGGUGAGUAACACGUGGGUGAUCUGCCCCUUACUUUGGGAUAAGCCUGGGAAACUGGGUCUAAUACUGGAUAGGACCAUGCUGUAGGUGGUGUGGUGGAAAGAUUAGUUUCGGUAAGGGAUGAGCUCGCGGCCUAUCAGCUUGUUGGUGGGGUAAUGGCCUACCAAGGCGUCGACGGGUAGCCGGCCUGAGAGGGUGGACGGCCACAUUGGGACUGAGAUACGGCCCAGACUCCUACGGGAGGCAGCAGUGGGGAAUAUUGCACAAUGGGCGCAAGCCGGAUGCAGCGACGCCGCGUGGGGGAUGACGGCCUUCGGGUUGUAAACUCCUUUCAGCCAUGACGAAGCCCUUGUGGUGACGGUAGUGGUAGAAGAAGCACCGGCUAACUACGUG
rnacentral:rRNA from 1 species